AACGAACGCUGGCGGCAUGCCUAACACAUGCAAGUCGAACGAGACCUUCGGGUCUAGUGGCGCACGGGUGCGUAACGCGUGGGAACCUGCCCUUAGGUUCGGAAUAACUCCCCGAAAGGGGUGCUAAUACCGGAUAAUGUCUUCGGACCAAAGAUUUAUCGCCUUUGGAUGGGCCCGCGUUGGAUUAGCUAGUUGGUAGGGUAAAAGCCUACCAAGGCGACGAUCCAUAGCUGGUCUGAGAGGAUGAUCAGCCACACUGGGACUGAGACACGGCCCAGACUCCUACGGGAGGCAGCAGUGGAUAAUAUUGGACAAUGGGCGAAAGCCUGAUCCAGCAAUGCCGCGUGAGUGAUGAAGGCCUUAGGGUUGUAAAGCUCUUUUACCCGGGAUGAUAAUGACAGUACCGGGAGAAUAAGCUCCGGCUAACUCCGUG
rnacentral:rRNA from 1 species